UGAGGAAUAUUGGUCAAUGGCCGAGAGGCUGAACCAGCCAAGUAGCGUGAAGGAUGACUGCCCUAUGGGUUGUAAACUUCUUUUAUAAAGGAAUAAAGUCGCCUACGUGUAGGUGUUUGUAUGUACUUUAUGAAUAAGCAUCGGCUAACUCCGUGCCAGCAGCCGCGGUAAUACGGAGGAUGCGAGCGUUAUCCGGAUUUAUUGGGUUUAAAGGGAGCGCAGACGGGCUGUUAAGUCAGCUGUGAAAUGCCGCGGCUCAACCGUGGACCUGCAGUUGAUACUGGCGGCCUUGAGUGCGGUUGAGGCAGGCGGAAUUCGUGGUGUAGCGGUGAAAUGCUUAGAUAUCACGAAGAACCCCGAUUGCGAAGGCAGCCUGCCAAUCCGUUACUGACGUUCAUGCUCGAAGGUGCGGGUAUCAAACAGG
rnacentral:rRNA from 1 species